rnacentral:rRNA from 1 species
AUACGGAGGGUGCAAGCGUUAUCCGGAUUCACUGGGUUUAAAGGGUGCGUAGGCGGGUAUGUAAGUCAGUGGUGAAAUCUCGGAGCUUAACUCCGAAACUGCCAUUGAUACUAUAUAUCUUGAAUAUUGUGGAGGUUUGCGGAAUAUGUCAUGUAGCGGUGAAAUGCUUAGAUAUGACAUAGAACACCUAUUGCGAAGGCAGCAGGCUACACAUAUAUUGACGCUGAGGCACGAAAGCGUGGGGAUCAAACAGGAUUAGAUACCCUGGUAGUCCACGCCCUAAACGAUGGAUACUCGACAUACGCGAUACACUGUGUGUGUCUGAGCGAAAGCAUUAAGUAUCCCACCUGGGAAGUACGACCGCAAGGUUGAA